GCAAGAGCAAGAACUUCAAAAUGAACUACAUGCUUAAUCUUAGAUAGUAUAAUAUUAAUUGAAAGGCAUUUAGUGAUAGACUUGUAUGCUAACAAACUGCACUAGGUUUAACAGGAAUCAUUUCGAGAGGAUAAAGUCGUGGUAGAAAUCUAAAUUGAUUGCUUACCAUUGAUUACAUUAGUCAAAAGCUAAUGUCACUAUCUGUCAGGUAUGAUUAAAGCAAAAAGGAAGAAAGGUGGAAUGGAGAGCAAAUCAACAGAAUGGUAGAAUAGGGGAAAGUAAACACUUUCCAUCAAUUUUGGAAACAAAAGACAAAAUGAUCUAUUUGAGAAAAUCAAAGAGACAAAACCAACUCAGACUUUAUUUCAACUCUUAUUUGUCCUACAUGCUCAUAUUUCAAACUCAGACGUAUACCAGGAAAGAAUGAGAUCCUGGAUGAUGUGACGGGGAGAAGAUAUGGUUCAAGUAUCAGAGGUAAGGGCAGACAAAAAUAGUUUUGGUUUUGAAUGGAAAUCUUCAGAAGAAUGUGAUAAUAAUGAUUAUAAUUAACGUGUACCAAGGGUUUUAGUAAGUGGCAGAUAUUAGGCUAAUUGAGUUAUAUUCAUCAGAUUGCUUCAUUUUCACAAUUGUCCUAUGAGGUAGAUAUAGCCAUUAUCCUCUUUUUCCGGGUGAAAAUAUAAAGCUCAACAAGGAUAAUUGGAUCUUUCAUAAAUGUAGUAAGUGGCAAAGAAGGAAUUCCAAAUGAGGCCAAUUCAAUUCUAGAGCUUGGGAUACUAAGCCCAAUGCUGUAAUAAUAUAUUUUGAGAAUGACUAAAGUCUAUGAAAAGUACAGUGCCUUGGGGGCCGGCCCCAUGGUGCAGUGGAUAAGUUCAGUGCACACUGCUUUGCUGGCCCGUUUCACAGGUUUGGAUCCUGGGCACAGACCUACACCACUCAUCAAGCCAUGCUGCGGCGGUGACCUACAUACAAAGUGGAGAAAGACUGGCACAGAUCUUAGCUGAGGGCUAGUCUUCCUCAAGUCACAAAAGAGGAAGGUUGGCAAUAAAUGUUAGCUCAGGGCUAAUCUACCUCAGCAAAAAAAUACACACACACAUACACACACACAGUGCUUUAAAAAAGGUUAAUACUGUUAUCCAAUGCUGUGUUCUCUAAGAAUGAGUACAUGUUUAGAAACUUUUGUUCUCUUUAAUAUUCACAUUUUUAUUACUUUUUUCCUAAUUACAUAAGCAAUACAGGCUUAUUAUAGCACACAUCACAGAAAUAUCCUCAAUUGAGACAUUUCCAGUAAUCCUUAAUCAUGGAAAAUAUUCACUGUUAACUGAUUACUAAAUAUUUCUCCUGAAACUCUUAGGGUUGGAUAUAUUUGUGGGGUUAAAUUUUUUAGAUUUUAGAAAGCUAUGAUAAGGAAAUACCAUACCUGAGGAAAUACCAAUGGGGACGGGGUCACCACCACUUUACCCAUUGCAGUAAUAUUUCUUUAGCCAACCGUGUGCAUAUUUGCAAUGAUUAGAAUAAUUACAAAUACAAAUCACCUCGUGUCAGUUUAUGUCAAGAUUUGCUGCCAAAUAAGUUCAAAACCAAUUAAUUUUUGUCACCAAGUAUAUUACAACAAAAAUUUAGAGCUCUAUGUUUUUCAGAACUGCUGAUAAGUGAUUAUGGACCUGCAUUAUAUAUAUAUUUUUUUCUGCAACUUGAUCUUUUUUCACUUAAUCAUCUUUCUUAAGAUACAUUUUUUGUAUGAUUACAUAGAGAUCCACAUUACUCAUUCUAAUAACUGCAUAUUAUUCCAUUUUAUGGAAGUACCAGAGUUUAUUGCUACUGAUAAAAAUUAAUUUUGGUUAUUUGUCAACUAAUUUUGACCUCUUUCAUCUUUCAGAUGGCAUUCAUCACCUGUCAUAAUCUGAAUGGCCCAUGAUUCAAAUUACUUUUAUUAGGCCACUCUCCUGGACAUGUUUCUUGUAUAAUAAUUCAAAAAUUAAUAUUCAUCCUGAAACGUGCUGAAUGAUUUCACAUAUUUUUGGCCAAAAUGCAAGCCAUUUUAUGAAGGAGCGUACUAUACUGCAAAAACUUGAAGACAAGAGAUCUUGGAUUCUAAUUGAUUUUCUCUCUAGACUAAAACAUGUGUGUGGCUUUGGGCAACUUCAGGCUAUCUGGGAAUAAAUGAUUUCAUCUUUAAAAUGGUAGAGGUUGAAAUAAAUGGUUUCUAAAAGUAUAUGACUAUAUUGCAAUGUUUUCCACACAUUUUCAGAAUAUAGGACACAGAGAAAAUAAUACUUUAUCUUUGAGGCAUAUUGAGAGAAAUGGUAGCUGACAAGCUUGACAGCUCUGGCUGCCCCAGGACCCACGGGGGCACCCUAAAAACUUAGGGGAUCGAUAUUCCUGGCACAACACUUGAGAAGUUCUGAUAUAAAGUAUUGAUGAAAUCUAUUUGAUUGCCAUGCAAGUGACUUCACCAUUGGAGCUGUUAUAGGCUUUUAGAGUCAAAUGGCUUUUUACAUCCCCAGGAAUAUUCGACCUUUGAAAGUUGAUUUUUUACACUAGGGCAUUUAGAUGCGAAGUAGGCAGAACAAAAAUCUGUGGUGGUUCAACAAACUUGUUUGGUUUCUAGGCUUUUACUGUCAGGUUGCUCUCUCAUCCUCAAUCUAUAGCUUUACCAUGUUGUC
ensembl:lncRNA